rnacentral:rRNA from 1 species
AGAGUUUGAUCCUGGCUCAGAUUGAACGCUGGCGGCAUGCCUUACACAUGCAAGUCGAACGGCAGCACGGGAGCAAUCCUGGUGGCGAGUGGCGAACGGGUGAGUAAUAUAUCGGAACGUGCCCAGUCGUGGGGGAUAACGCAGCGAAAGCUGUGCUAAUACCGCAUACGAUCUCUGGAUGAAAGCGGGGGACUCGUAAGAGCCUCGCGCGAUUGGAGCGGCCGAUAUCAGAUUAGCUAGUUGGUGGGGUAAAGGCCCACCAAGGCGACGAUCUGUAGUUGGUCUGAGAGGACGACCAGCCACACUGGAACUGAGACACGGUCCAGACUCCUACGGGAGGCAGCAGUGGGGAAUUUUGGACAAUGGGCGCAAGCCUGAUCCAGCAAUGCCGCGUGCAGGAUGAAGGCCUUCGGGUUGUAAACUGCUUUUGUACGGAACGAAAAGGUCUGCCUUAAUACGGUGGGCCCAUGACGGUACCGUAAGAAUAAGCACCGGCUAACUACGUGCCAGCAGCCGCGGUAAUACGUAGGGUGCGAGCGUUAAUCGGAAUUACUGGGCGUAAAGCGUGCGCAGGCGGUUAUACAAGACAGAUGUGAAAUCCCCGGGCUCAACCUGGGACCUGCAUUUGUGACUGUAUUGCUAGAGUACG